rnacentral:rRNA from 1 species
GACGAACGCUGGCGGCGUGCUUAACACAUGCAAGUCGAACGGAGUGGCGAACGGGUGAGUAUUACGUGAGUAACCUGCCCUCAACUGUGGGAUAAGCCUGGGAAACUGGGUCUAAUACUGCAUAGUGGGGGAUGGGCUCGCGGCCUCUCAGAUUGUUGGUGGGGUGAGGGCCUACCAAGGCGGUGACGGGUAGACGGCCGGGGAGGGGGGUCGGCAACAUGGGGAGUUAGAUACGCCUCAGACUCCUACGGGAGGCAGCAGGUGGGGAUAUUGCACAAUUGGCGUAAGCCUGAUGCAGGGACGCCGCGUGAGGGAUGAAGGCUGUCGGGUUGUAAACCUCUUUCGGUACAGAACGGGUAUGUGCAGAAGAAGCGCCGGCUAACUACGUACCAGCAGCCGCGGUAAUAC